CGGACAGAUGGGAGCUUGCUCCCUGAUGUUAGCGGCGGACGGGUGAGUAACACGUGGGUAACCUGCCUGUAAGACUGGGAUAACUCCGGGAAACCGGGGCUAAUACCGGAUGGUUGUUUGAACCGCAUGGUUCAAACAUAAAAGGUGGCUUCGGCUACCACUUACAGAUGGACCCGCGGCGCAUUAGCUAGUUGGUGAGGUAACGGCUCACCAAGGCGACGAUGCGUAGCCGACCUGAGAGGGUGAUCGGCCACACUGGGACUGAGACACGGCCCAGACUCCUACGGGAGGCAGCAGUAGGGAAUCUUCCGCAAUGGACGAAAGUCUGACGGAGCAACGCCGCGUGAGUGAUGAAGGUUUUCGGAUCGUAAAGCUCUGUUGUUAGGGAAGAACAAGUACCGUUCGAAUAGGGCGGUACCUUGACGGUACCUAACCAGAAAGCCACGGCUAACUACGUGCCAGCAGCCGCGGUAAUACGUAAGUGGCCAAGCGUUGUCCCGGG
rnacentral:rRNA from 1 species